UAAUCCACAUUGAAGGUAGGGCUCCAGUGGGCCACAUAAUGUACAAAGGUGAGCCCCAAAUGACGGACGUUCUACAUGAAGCGGGCCCCACCCAAUGGACGAUCCACACCAAAGGUGAGGCCCCUCAUCUGACGGGGCUGAAUUCACUGAUCUCUGUGUACAGGACACAUGCAUCAGGCAAUGUAAAGAUAAAAAAUAAUUUUGGUCCACUAAUCAAAUAGGUCAAACUUGUAUGUUAAAAACUGGGUGGUGAAAAAAAAAAAAAAAUGGUUCAACGGUAAAAAAAUUUAACCUAUAUUUGCAGGUCCCUUUGAUAAGUUUCCUAGUUUCUUAGUAUGGUGCUGAGUACCUAGAUGGAUUCCAUCUCCACGUAUGAGGGUCCACAUCAAGUGUGCGUCGAUCCACCCGUCCAUUGUCUUCAGCCCCAUGAUGCCUAAGUUACAAAUAAAAAAUCGGGCAAGAUCCAAAACUUAGGUCAGCCAUGACAUAGGGAAAUUCUCAUUGUGCGGCCCAAGUAGGUUUUGGAGUGACUUGACUUUUGGUGAAUCCCUUCAUCCUAGUAGGGCGUCUGAUGAAUGGUGGAGCAUCCCUUCCCAACUGUUCCCUAUGUUGUGGUCCAUCUGAUUUUCAGUUCGGACUGAAUUUUGGUCCCAGUGACUCAACUUUGAAGGGUGAAUCUAAUACAUGGAGUGGAUGGGAUACACAGUUGAUGUGGGCCCCACAUCAGCAUGGAGUUAUGUCCUACUCUUUUUCUUAAAUGUAGAAAUCCCUGCAGCCAAGAGCGCGUACUAUCAUGAGUAACAGCAGUACAAGCAGUACAACUAGUAGUACGUUUUUUAGCGACAAAAAUGUGGAUACUCUGAUAGUGUGUGAUGGAUGAUACACAGUCAGUAAUAAAUUAGCACACUUGACAUGCUAGUACUAAAAUUAUGGUACCCGGUAUAGAUAGUAAGCUUAUUUCAUUAUCUGACCAUCGGAUCAGCGACCAUCUAUUGCACGGUCAAAAAUGAAAAAUAGCCAACGGUCCUAUUUCCACAGACAAGUGUCCACAAAUCAGAUGUUAGGAUUGUUUAACCAAUCUGAUAUUUAGAUUGCAACUUUACAACGGUGUGCUGCGCAAUCUAGUCGGCUUUAUUUGAGUUUAUAUUUGUAAUGUGUACAUUGUCUUAAUGCCUGCGUAUCAAAGGUUAUAUGCAGCCAGAGUAUUAUACAACUACUCUUUUUUUAACAGCUCCUUUACUCUCUUUAUGUAUAAAUCCCUACUGAGUGUGAAUUAGAAUUUAGAAAGAAGAAAAAACCUGAGAAUGAUCGUGUGGUGCUGGAUUCGGUGUUGGUGGGAUCGAAGCCGUCGUUGCCGUUGGAUUGGAAUUAGAUCCUUCGUGCUUUGCUUUCGAUGCCAGCAACAUCGAAUCUAGCAGCUGACGGUCGCGAUGCGAAGAUUUUUUCAAGAAAUUAGAUCAACGGCGAUCGGGCAAGGUACGGCGCUGUCCACUGCAUUUCACUGCGGAAGACGCGCAAGUUCUUUGGGGCCCACCAUUUUGUAUAUUUGAAAUCCGCUCCCUCCAUCAGAUGAUCACCUUGAUUCUUGGGCCUUAGGCCAAAAAUAGCCAGAUCCACAGGUUAGAUGGGACACAUCAUAGGGAACAACGGGGAGAGUGGAUGCCUACCAUAGGUUAUAUCGUUACAAAGGCAUGAAGUUGGGAGAAAGGAAGGAAUGGCUGAAGUUUCCUUGUUGAAUAAACUCGGAUGGAUUUGAAGUUUAGAAUACUUGGUAUGAUAUGAGAAUGUAUCUUUCCUGGAUAGGAUAUUAAGGAUAUUAGCAUGCAUAUUUAUGGGUUGCAAUGUUCCCAAUGAAAUUUUAUUAUGGGUCCCACAUUUCAAUGAUCCAGAUCAUUCAUAAAACGGCCCCCACUGUUGAUGGGACACACCAAAAAUCAUGCUUCAAAAGCCUGAAAACCUGACUCGAGUCGAUGUUCAGUUGUGUUGGGUUGACUAAAAGACCUUGACUCUAAUCAGCUAAAUAUUUAAAUAUUAUAAACAAAAGGAUACUAAGAAAGCUAAUAAAUAUUUCAAAUACGUGACUCGGCUGAGUUUUGAGUCGACUCAGUGAGUUUUACAACAAUGCUCAAGAUCGUGGGCCCACAUAGCUGGCGGAGAAUUCAUGGUGAUUAAGAGACUAAAAUUUAGAUUCAAUGACAUGUAUUCAUAGAAUAGAAGACCACAAAAUCUUAGCCAUCACACUUCUCUCCUCUAGGGUUUCACACCG